AGAGGUGGCAAGCGUUGUUCGGAAUUACUGGGCGUAAAGGGCGCGUAGGCGGUCUCGCAAGUCCUGUGUGAAAUCCCCCGGCUCAACUGGGGAACUGCACAGGAAACUGCUUGGCUUGAGUUCGGGAGAGGGAAGCGGAAUUCCGGGUGUAGCGGUGAAAUGCGUAGAUAUCCGGAGGAACACCGGUGGCGAAGGCGGCUUCCUGGACCGACACUGACGCUGAGGCGCGAAAGCUAGGGGAGCAAACGGGAUUAGAUACCCCGGUAGUCCUAGCUGUAAACGAUGAGUGCUGGGUGUAGGGGGUAUUAACCCCCCCUGUGCCGAAGCUAACGCAUUAAGCACUCCGCCUGGGGAGUACGGUCGCAAGGCUG
rnacentral:rRNA from 1 species